GCAACUAGUGCUGGUAGAGGUAGAGGAAGUCUACUGGAAAAACUGUGCAGCAAAAUGACACCAGGAGUAUAAGAUACUUCAACACCUAUACCGUCUACAACAGCCAGUUACAUCUGUGCAAACCACAUCUACCGCAACAGCAGGCCGAGGAACACUCCUUAGGGCAUUGAUGAAAAACCAUCAUCUCUCAGCCAUUUGUUGAAAACACCAAGGCAAGAAUAGAGGGUCUGCCAAAACUAAUGAGUAUUGGUAAACAUUAAACAACAUACGUGUGUUAAAACUGAAUCAGUUUGCUAUGCUUAUAAACCAUUGGAAAAACUUUGCAUGUUACUCAUUACAACAAAAGUUAGUAAUAUUUUGGCGGAUCUGGAAACAUUACGUCUCUUUGCUACAAUAAUUCCAGAGUAUUGUAAAUCCAUGGAUGAAUUGGAAAUUGCUGAAAAUGCAUUCAAUUUAAUAUUUGCUUUCGAUGAAAUAAUUGCUUUAGAAUACAGAGAAAGUGUUAAUUUAGCGCAAAUCAGGACAUUCGUAUAGAAAUGGAUUCGCAUGAAGAGAGAGUUUAUCAAGCUGUUAGAUUUACGCAAGAAAGAGAAGCUAAAAACAAAAUGAAAGAAAUGCCUAAUUAGCCAGUUCUGUGCACACAAAGAAAUCAAAGGAAUUGUAAUGAUUUUGUUGAAACUCUCAAAGCUGUUUGUCAGAAAGUUAGCAUCUGAAUUGGUGAUCCUCGGUUGGGAUAAUUUUCCCUGCGUUCAGACGAGAUAAAUAGCAGAAGUUAAAAAAGUUUGCUGUAUGUGUUGCAGUGGACAAGAGGGGAGUGCUAGACAGAAAUUCCAAUUACAUAUAUGUUCAUGCAAUGUUUUAAUGGUGUUUAAAUCCACUCUAACCCAAACUUUGGACAACUUGUGUGAUUUUUAUAACAGACUAAAAACAAUUGUACUUCUCGAACAAAUAAAACAAAGCCCUCGAAAUUAAUGAGUCACAAAAUUGUGUAGUUACA